UCAAGCUAAUGAUGAUAAAAGUUAUCCCUGUCUGAACUCUGUGUGGAGACACGGUAACCUGAAGCUUGA